CAGUGUUGGAGGUCUCAUUUAAUUUGAGUUGAACCGUUUGGUUAUGUUGGCUGUGUGAUUUUCUCACAUGUUUGUGCUAACUAAACAAUUUGAAACUAUAGGUGUGUGUCACUUAUUAGAAGCUUUUCCAUGAGAAAGAAGAUGUAUGAACAUGAUGGAGUU